rnacentral:rRNA from 1 species
AGUGAACGCUGGCGGUAGGCCUAACACAUGCAAGUCGAACGGCAGCACAGUAAGAGCUUGCUCUUACGGGUGGCGAGUGGCGGACGGGUGAGGAAUACAUCGGAAUCUACUUUUUCGUGGGGGAUAACGUAGGGAAACUUACGCUAAUACCGCAUACGACCUACGGGUGAAAGCAGGGGAUCUUCGGACCUUGCGCGAUUGAAUGAGCCGAUGUCGGAUUAGCUAGUUGGCGGGGUAAGGGCCCACCAAGGCGACGAUCCGUAGCUGGUGUGAGAGGAUGAUCAGCCACACUGGAACUGAGACACGGUCCAGACUCCUACGGGAGGCAGCAGUGGGGAAUAUUGGACAAUGGGCGCAAGCCUGAUCCAGCCAUACCGCGUGGGUGAAGAAGGCCUUCGGGUUGUAAAGCCCUUUUGUUGGGAAAGAAAAGCAGCAGGUUAAUACCCCGCUGUUCUGACGGUACCCAAAGAAUAAGCACCGGCUAACUUCGUG